UAGGAACCGUGAGAUUAAGCCAUCGCGGCAGGUGCUCACGUUAAGCCCACUGACUUUCAUGUCCCUAUCUACUAUCUAGCGAAACCACAGCCAAGGGAACGGGCUUGGAAUAAUUAGCGGGGAAAGAAGACCCUUUUGAGCUUGACUCUAAUCUGGCAGUGUAAGGAGACAUAAGAGGUGUAGAAUAAGUGGGAGAUAUUAGACUUCGGUUUGGUAUCGACAAUGAAAUACCACUACUCUUAUUGUUUCCUUACUUACUUGAUUAAAUGGAACGUGU
rnacentral:ncRNA from 1 species